rnacentral:rRNA from 1 species
GACGAACGCUGGCGGCGUGCUUAACACAUGCAAGUCGAACGGUAAGGCCCUUCGGGGUACACGAGCGGCGAACGGGUGAGUAACACGUGGGUGAUCUGCCCUGCACUUCGGGAUAAGCCUGGGAAACUGGGUCUAAUACCGGAUAGGACCACUGCCUGCAUGGGUGGUGGUGGAAAGCUUUUGCGGUGUGGGAUGGGCCCGCGGCCUAUCAGCUUGUUGGUGGGGUGAUGGCCUACCAAGGCGACGACGGGUAGCCGGCCUGAGAGGGUGACCGGCCACACUGGGACUGAGAUACGGCCUAGACUCCUACGGGAGGCAGCAGUGGGGAAUAUUGCACAAUGGGCGCAAGCCUGAUGCAGCGACGCCGCGUGAGGGAUGACGGCCUUCGGGUUGUAAACCUCUUUCAGCACCGACGAAGCGCAAGUGACGGUAGGUGCAGAAGAAGGACCGGCCAACUACGUGCCAGCCGCCGCAGUAA